GACGAACGCUGGCGGCGUGCUUAACACAUGCAAGUCGAACGGAAAGGCCCUGCUUUUGUGGGGUGCUCGAGUGGCGAACGGGUGAGUAACACGUGAGUAACCUGCCCUUGACUUUGGGAUAACUUCAGGAAACUGGGGCUAAUACCGGAUAGGAGCUCCUGCUGCAUGGUGGGGGUUGGAAAGUUUCGGCGGUUGGGGAUGGACUCGCGGCUUAUCAGCUUGUUGGUGGGGUAGUGGCUUACCAAGGCGUUGACGGGUAGCCGGCCUGAGAGGGUGACCGGCCACAUUGGGACUAAGAUACGGCCCAGACUCCUACGGGAGGCAGCAGUGGGGAAUAUUGCACAAUGGGCGGAAGCCUGAUGCAGCAACGCCGCGUGCGGGAUGACGGCCUUCGGGUUGUAAACCGCUUUCGCCUGUGACGAAGCGUGAGUGACGGUAAUGGGUAAAGAAGCACCGGCUAACUACGUG
rnacentral:rRNA from 1 species